AUACUGAAGGGUUGGUAGGGGACCAGAGAAUAGAGGAAGCAUUGUAGGUUCUAGAGUGGAGAAGGGACCAUCCAAAAUGGAGUUUGAAAGAGAAUUCUGGCCUUUGUGUUUAGAGUCUGGAAUUGUCAAGAGUCUGAAAGCACAGAAUAAGACUGCAGCUAGAGCAAUUUAGGCGCCAUAGUUUGUCAAAACAGAGUGGGAGGCAUAACUGCUUUGCCUCCAGUCAUCAUCUGGGGGCAUAUCUACUCUUCGAGGACCAGGGGUUCGGGACCCUGGAACAGGAUCUGAAUUCCAAGCUGACCUCAGGGGUACAUGAAGACUGCUAGAUGAGACGGGAUCUCACUGUGUUGCCCAGGCUGGUCUCGAACUGCUGGACUCAAGUCAUCCUCCCAUCUUGGCCUCCCAAAGUGCUGGAAUUACAGUGGACAACCUUCAAUGCACUGGUACUUUGUACCCUGACCUCUACUGUGAUGAACACUCAACUUGGGCAAGGAAGUGAAAUUCUCCAAAGUGCAGUGGGUUCUGACCCAAUCAGCAGCCUUUGCUUCUCAGAUUCCUCUCAAGGCUUUAUGACUCUUCUCACCCCAGGAAACCCUACAACACGCACGGCCUUUCAGAACUGCUACAUGGAAUGGACAUUCCUCUGGGCUCCAGCUGAAUGUUUGUAAAUAAAAUAAUGACUGCGUGUCCU
rnacentral:lncRNA from 10 species